GACGAACGCUGGCGGCGUGCUUAACACAUGCAAGUCGAACGGAAAGGCCCUGCUUUUGUGGGGUGCUCGAGUGGCGAACGGGUGAGUAACACGUGAGUAACCUGCCCUUGACUUUGGGAUAACUUCAGGAAACUGGGGCUAAUACCGGAUAGGAGCUCCUGCUGCAUGGUGGGGGUUGGAAAGUUUCGGCGGUUGGGGAUGGACUCGCGGCUUAUCAGCUUGUUGGUGGGGUAGUGGCUUACCAAGGCUUUGACGGGUAGCCGGCCUGAGAGGGUGACCGGCCACAUUGGGACUGAGAUACGGCCCAGCCUCCUACGGGAGGCAGCAGUGGGGAAUAUUGUACAAUGGGCGGAAGCCUGAUGCAGCAACGCCGCGUGCGGGAUGACGGCCUUCGGGUUGUAAACCGCUUUCGCCUGUGACGAAGCGUGAGUGACGGUAAUGGGUAAAGAAGCACCGGCUAACUCCGUG
rnacentral:rRNA from 1 species